rnacentral:misc_RNA from 1 species
GCACCGGCACUGGACAGAGAGGGUGUGGGGAGCGGCGCGGUGUACCUCUGUCUGCCGGCACUGGACAGAGAGGGUGUGGGGAGCGGCGCGGUGUACCUGUCUGCCGGCGCUGCAGACAGAGAGCGGUGUGGGGAGCGGCGCGGUGUACCUCUGUCUGCCGGCGCUGGACAGAGAGGGUGUGGGGAGCGGCGCGGUGUACCUCUGACUGCCGGCGCUGCAGACAGAGAGCGGUGUGGGGAGCGGCGCGGUGUACCUCUGUCUGCCGGCGCUGCAGACAGAGAGCGAUGUGCAGACGCCGGCGGUGAUCGCGUGUCGGGUGACGGCACUGUGGUGCUCUGGUGUCCGGUGUACGGCCGUAGUGCUGGUUACUGGUGUGGUGCAGCGUGACCGCUACCAUGGCAACUCCUUAUGGGGACGGUGGUGCUGCGAAAUGCACCACUGACUCGUCAAAGUCAAAGUGUGUCAAAACUAAUCAGUGGUGCCUCGAACUGGCCUCCUCGGACGGCGACACCUGCGCCGCACCAGCCGCAGAGUCGACACUGGACCUGCUUCGACACAGUUUGGAGGCCGAGCGAGGGCUAGGAGUCAGCGCUCCACACGUGUUUGUCAUCAUGGGAGCGUCGGGUGAUUUAGCCAAGAAGAAAAUCUAUCCUGCCAUCUGGUGGCUUUUCCGAGAUAAGCUGCUACCAGAAAACACAAGCAUUGUUGGCUAUGCGCGGUCAAAACUCAAGGUCAGCGACAUCCGAGAGAAAUGCGACAAAUUCAUGAAGGUGCGCUCUGAAGACCGGGAGCGGUACGAGCAGUUCUGGUCUGUCAAUCAGUACGUCUCGGGCGCGUACGACGACCCUGCGGCGUUCGAUGCGCUCAGUGAGGCCAUCUCGGCGCUGGAAACAGAAGCCACCGGAAAUCGUCUGUUCUACCUGGCGCUCCCGCCGUCCGUGUUUGGUGACGUCACCAGCGGCAUAGCGCGCCACUGUAUGGCCACAAACCCGGGCUGGAGCCGUAUCAUUGUGGAGAAGCCAUUCGGACGCGACGCGGCCAGCUCGGCCCAACUGUCUGCCCACCUCUCGUCUCUGUUUACCGAGUCACAGAUCUACCGGAUCGACCACUACCUGGGCAAGGAGAUGGUGCAGAACCUGAUGACCCUGAGAUUUGGUAACGUGCUAUUCGAGCCCACGUGGAACCGGAACCACCUGGCCUGCGUCACUAUCACGUUCAAGGAGCCUUUCGGAACCAAGGGACGUGGCGGCUAUUUCGACCAGUUCGGAAUCAUCAGGGAUGUGAUGCAGAACCACCUGCUGCAGAUCCUCUGCCUCGUUGCGAUGGAGAAGCCGUGCUCCACGGCCGCCCCCGAUAUCCGCGACGAAAAGGUCAAAGUGCUCAAGUGCACCCGCCAGCUCGGCCUGGAGGACGUCGUUCUUGGCCAGUAUGUGGGUGACCCUCACGGUGACGGCGACGCCAGACAGGGGUACCUGGACGACCCGACCGUGCCCAAGGACUCUGUGACGCCUACAUUCGCGGCAGCCGUCCUGCGCAUCGACAACGAACGCUGGGAGGGGGUGCCGUUCAUCCUCCGCUGCGGAAAAGCGCUGAACGAGCGGAAGGCCGAGGUUCGCCUGCAGUACCGCGACGUGGCCGGCGACAUAUUCCGCGGACAGGUGCACCGGAACGAGCUGGUCAUCCGGCUGCAGCCCGGCGAGGCCGUCUACGUCAAAAUGAUGACCAAGCGGCCCGGCAUGACGUUCGACAUGGAGGAGACCGAGCUGGACCUCACCUACUCUGCACGCUAUAAGGAUCUGAAGCUGCCGGACGCGUACGAGCGCCUACUUCUGGAUGUGUUCUGCGGCGCUCAGAUGCAUUUUGUGCGCUCUGACGAGCUGGAGCACGCCUGGAGGAUAUUUACACCCCUGCUGCACGUCAUAGAUGAACAGAAACCCAAACCAGUGCCGUACAGGUAUGGUUCCCGCGGACCAGCAGAGGCCGAUGAACUGAGCCGGGGACUCGGAUUCCGCUACACGGGAAGCUACUCGUGGAAAGGUGACGACGCACACCUAUAGUCCACACAGCCGGUAAACAUGGACGCUGCAGCCUGUAGUUUUGACACCCAGUGGGGAUACUGUCACAGUUCGCAGGACUUACGUGUCUCUGUUAUUGAGGCAGACACACGAUUAAGUGAUGUCACCACGGUCUGGUAUACGGUAGAGCCACUGCCGUCUCUAGCAUGUACCGGUGCCCAAUCAUAUAGCGGAGGGAACAAGCCUUCUACAACAGUAUUACAUCCACAGAUGGCCGGUGGAACCAAUUAUUUCUGUGCAUGCAUGUUGACCAUUUAUGGGAACUCAGCAAACCAAACACGUGGUUUGACUCAAUGAUAUGCCAUUGGAUACACUUGAAAACGCACCCACAUGAAUUGACGAUCUUGUAGCCACAUGUAUAUUGUGUACCGAAUUGUUCAAUAAUUGUAACCGUUUUUUAUACGUUAUUGGCGCAACUAGUGACAUUGAUGUAACUUUUUAUUGACUUCGUCCCCAACGGUGCAGAUCCCGCUGAUAAUCGUAUUUGUAAUCCGCUGUGGACACUUCCCUCAUCGAUGUACCUGUAUGGGUCCCAUUCACAAGACAAUAUAUGGCUGUCAGACGUUUUCACGUUGGUGAAAAUAAAAUAAUAAUGUAACAGACAAA